rnacentral:rRNA from 1 species
CCUACGGGAGGCAGCAGUGAGGAAUAUUGGUCAAUGGGCUUACGCCUGAACCAGCCAAGUCGCGUGAGGGAAGACUGCCCUAUGGGUUGUAAACCUCUUUUGUCAGGGAGCAACGCCGGCUACGUGUAGCCGGACUGAGAGUACCUGAAGAAAAAGCAUCGGCUACCUCCGUGCCAGCGGCCGCGGUAAUACGGAGGAUGCGAGCGUUAUCCGGUUUUAUUGGGUUUAAAGGGUGCGUAGGCGGAAUGCCAAGUCAGGGGUAAAGUCGCGGGGCUCAACCUCGCUCCGCCGUUGAAACUGGCGUUCUUGAGGGGGCGAGAAGUAUGCGGAAUGCGUGGUGUAGCGGUGAAAUGCAUAGAUAUCACGCAGAACUCCGAUUGCGAAGGCAGCAUACCGGCGCCCAACUGACGCUGAAGCACGAAAGCGUGGGUAUCGAACAGGAUUAGAUACCCGUGUAGUC